UGCCCUGUGGCUUAGUUGGUUACGGCGUCCGACUGUUAUACUCUCUCUUCAAUCGGAAGAUCGAGAGUUCAAGUCUCUCCGGGGCAG